rnacentral:pre_miRNA from 1 species
GACGGAAUGAGUCCGUCGGUAAAACUGGAUAAUGUUGUAGUGAGGACAGAUUCAGACUUCUCCGUUGUUGCUACAAUUUGGACUUGAAAACGGCCUUUUUAAAUCUUGGACUCCUCAUGAAAGUUUUAGGCCUAUGUCUUAGCUUUCCAUC